GUGUUCAUUUCAACAGCACAUAAACUAAAAUUGGAAUGAUACAGAGAUUAGCAUGACCCCUGUGUACAGAUUACAUGAAAAUUUGUGAAGCAGUCCAUAUUUUU
ensembl:snRNA U6 U6 spliceosomal RNA